rnacentral:lncRNA from 1 species
CCAGAAGCCAACCUACAAUGUGGCAGGUUUGUGCAGCCAGGAAGGGAGGUGCCUUCGGAGAGGAGGCGGGGCCGCUCCGGGCGCGGGCGGGGCCCCAGCUCCGCGCGCUCAGCCCCUCCCAGGCCGCGGGGGAAAGGAGGAGAGACCUACAUUUAAAAAGGCAGGAACCAGCCUAGCGCCGAGAUCCAAAAAUGCCCGGGGAAACCUCCACUCACUGUGAACACGUUUAAAAGAUAUAAUCAGGGGAGCCAAGAUGGAAAUGGGCAAAAUGGUGCUCUCUGCAGAUGGUUCAGGCACACCACCGCCAACCUGGACAAUGAUUAACCCGGGGAAGGAUAAUCUCAGUCCGUGGGGUAGCAGUGAUCUCUACAAGAGGCUGGUUCUCACGCAGCCCGAGAGCCCUUUGCUCCUGACUGAUCCUUUCUCUCUCCCUGUCUUAUAUUUUCUCUUUCUCUCUUCCCUCCUUCCUCUCUCCCAUCUGCUUCUUGCUCUUUCUCCUGCCCUCCCCGUCCUUCUUUUCUUCCUUCCUUUAUUUUUCAUUUUCAUUUUUAUUUAUUUAUUUGUAGUAAGGUAUAGUUGACUUAUAAUGUUAUGCCAAUUUCUGCUGUAGCAAAGUGACUCAGUCAUAACAAAUAUAUAUAUAUGUGUGUGUGUGUGUAUAUAUAUAUAUAUAUUCUUUUAAAAAUAUUAUCUUCCAUCAUGGUCUAUCCCAAGAGUUUGGAUAUAGUUCCCUAUGCUGUAUGGUAGGACCUUGUUUAUGCAAGGUAAUAGUUUGCAUCCACUAACUCCUUCCUUCCUUCCUUCCUUCCUUCCUUCCUUCCUUCCUUCCUCUUUCUUUCUCUCUUUCAUGCAAUGUGUGUGUGGGAAAGCAGAAACAGUGCCUGCACACAGUCCAGCUGGGAUAUUUUGUUCGCUGUGAUGCCCAGCAGGAGCUCUUCACCUGCUCCAGGAGAGGGGAGCAUAUUCAGGAAAGGCUUCCUAGAGGACAUGGCCUUGGGGCCCCCACAUAAAUGGGUAUGGAGACAAGUAAAGUCUUUUGGACACAAAGUGAUGCAUUCUCUGGUUCCUCCUGCACACUGACGUCUCUUCUCCUGUGUUGAAGCAUCACACUCUUCUACAAAGAACCCAGCAGCUUCUUUGAGGCUGGGCAAGCCACCCAGGAUGACAGCAAGCUCUGGUUUACUCAAAGCUGCCCCCCUGGUUAGCUCAGAUUCAUGGCUUAUUUGAGAAAUGAAUGAUUUAGGGUCUGCUGCAGCUGUUUUUCUCCUUAGAGAAGUUUUAGGCUUUUGUGGGGAGGCAGUGUUCUGGAAUGAACUGACUUCUUCCACAUCUGCACUCAGGCUUUGGGGACCAGGGGACCCUUGCCUGAGACCAUACACCUUCCAGACUUAGACGCAAAUACCUUUAUCAGGCCCAGCCCCACGUAACCCUAAAUGUAAAACAAGAAAGCCCUGCUGACUUCCUCCUUCUCCUGUGUACACAGCCGUUACCCAGAUUGGGUGUCUAUCUAUCUGCUGGGCUGGAAAGAAUAGAUGCUUUGUUCUCCUCUCCGUGUUGGAACAGCUUUUAUCCACACUGGGUUGUGAAGGCCCCCGACGCUCCUUUGGGGCCCUGUUCAUUUUUCAGAUUUACAUUAGAGUCUUGAAUUCAACAUUCAGAGGAGAUAUCACCAAUUUUCUUUAUGAAGUGUGCCAUGAAAUGAAAAAUUAAACUAAUGUCUGUUUUGUAGCCAGAAAGAGCCAUAAAUGUGCCCCUCGCUGACCAAAUUUGGCUUCUUUCUGAAAGUUAGGGUACACGUUCCCACAUCCCAUUAUCCAGGCUCUAAGAUGGUUUGCCAGACUGGUAGAAGAAUAAAUGACAUGGAUUUUCUCCUCCUAUCA